AAUAUACUCCCUCCAUCCCAUAUCAAGUGACUUUCUAUUACAUGUAUCUAGAUGUUUUUUACGUAUAGAUACAUCCAUAUUUUGGCAAAUUUGAGUCACUUAAUAUGAGACGGAGGGAGUAUAUG
rfam:Brachypodium distachyon strain Bd21 chromosome 2, whole genome shotgun sequence.